CUAAACGACGAAACAUCACUGUCACCAGUGUCAUCGUCAGCUGGUAUGGGCUGUUAUGAUAUUAAAAAUAUCUUAAAAUAAAGUUUCUUGAACGUAGAAUAGUCGACCUCGUAGCAUUUUUUACAAAAAUCUUACUAUAAGCUAAUAAAUUAAUAAGUUUUCAUGGUAUUUCUAAGCAAAAUGUUGAAAGGAUUGAUCAUUUUUGGAACGGGUGUGUACACAGGUGUUUACAUAGCACAAAAUUAUCAGAUCGAUAAAGUCGAAGACCCCAAAGUAUUAUUUGGAAAAGCGCAAGCCUUCAUAAAGGCUAAACUAGAUGAAAUUAAUGAAGGCAGCAA